GGGGAUGUAGCUCAGUGGUAGAGCGCUCGCUUUGCAUGUGAGAGGCCCCGGGUCCAAACCCCGGCAUCUCCA
rnacentral:tRNA from 1 species